UUGACGAUUUACUUAAUUCCUUCAAUUUGUUUGUCUAAGAUAUUAGUAGGAUGGACAAAUGUUCAUUCAUAGUAUGCGUGUAGGGCCGAAGGCAUUUUAAACAUACCUCAUAACACUUAUGUAUGGCUGCAGAAGACUACUGAAACAUGUCGCUAUAGAAAAAAAUGCUUUCUGAAAAUCAUUUCUCUUUAGGUUACUUCCAUAGUUCUGUUAGAGUAAAUACUUAGGUUACUUCUGUAGUUCCGUUGAAGUAAAUAGUCAGAGAUAUUUACUUCUAUAGUUCUCUUUAGGUUACUUCUGUAGUUCUGUCAAGAGUAGGUUCUAUUAACACAUUGAUUUAACAACAAUCAUCAGUUCAAUGUGUGAUGUUGGGACGUAGUUUUCCUGCAACGGCAUACACAGCCGGUGAGACUUUUUCUGCUAGGGAUGUACAAGGUAUGACAUGUGGAGAGGGUGCUUCCAAUUAGUAAUUCAAACUCUAGAAAAAAAAUUCUCGCAUUAUUACAAAAAGUAUUGCUGAAUCACGACAAUUUAUAAGCACAUACUGAGGGCACUGAACCACAUGUUAGUACUGAUCGUCAAUUAUGAAGACUUGAUGAUUAUCAUAUAUAACCAAAUUUUGCUAGCCCGCCUGUCGUAUGUUUGUUUUACCAACAUAUAGCUGUAUGUAUGCACUUCUGUUUUUCUCAUCCUUCCUCUCCUUAAUUUCAGUGAUUGCUAAAUAAUAUUUGUUCUGAUGGUCUAAUAGUUUUUUCUGCUUAGGCACAAAUAUGGUGCAAUCCGCUGCUAUCCUCCUAUUGUUACCUAAGAUUUUUUUUCCUAUGAGGCCGGUUACUAUUUAAGCAUAAUCAGGGUGAACCUAAUAAAUUUAUGAUAACUCUGAAGUUUAAUAUGUGUUUACGUGCCUACCUAAGAGUAUCAUGCCAAUUGCUUGAGCAGCGGGCAAUGGUAAUUAUUCUCCUAAGAUGAUGCUGAGUUUCAGCAAUGUAGACCCAUUUGUUCAUUUCCAAUCUUUGGUGCUUUUGCAGAUAUGUAAUGUUGUUGCAAUUGCUGAGAUAAUGGAUGCAACACUAAUUUUACCAGUUCUGAAGCAGGACCAUAUGAAAAGACCAGAUGUGCACGAUCCAUACAAUGGUUUUUAUGGUCAUUCAAGUCGAGCGCCGAGACACUCGAGGUGAUGAGACACAACGGACUAGCUGAGUACCUACGUAGCUAAUCAUUGAUCUUGUCUUGAGUGAAAGGGUGUCGUUUGUUAAUUCAGAGACUGGCUAAAAGGUAUACUCAACUGCAUCUUAGUUUUGUGCUCCUGCAUAUUGUUAUUGUGUUUAUUCCUAUCAGCUAAUAUAAAUAUCAUAACUCUCAAAGUUUUCAUUAUUAGUUUUUUUACAGAUUCUUGAAGCUUUGCGUGCUGGAUUCUCCAAUGUAAUUGAAGUAGCUCAACAUCAUGUAGUUACAUUGUCAUGGUAGUAAUCUUUGCCUGUUGUUGACUUAAGAGAGCUAGCUGUUUGCUAGAAUAUAUUAAACUGCUAAUUUUACACCUAUUUAUGCACAUGUCAUCAUAGUUAGAAUUUCAGAAUCAGUUUUGAUUUAUGAAAAUGCUAGCUUUUUCAUAGUAUAGAAAUAGUUUUCACGAAUUAUAAUGGCAAAUUAUUUUUCUUGUUUUCACAAGUAAUAAUGCCAAAUGCUUUUCUUGUGGUAUUCAGAAGUUAAGGCACUGCGUUUCAGAUUGACGACGGUUUAUACAUGGGUGGGGUUGGCAGUUUCAAGCCACUUAAUUUACGGGUGGCGAUUGCUGUCACCGUUGUUUAAUACCAAAUAUAUUAUCCGUCUAGCUAGAUUUUUAUUUGUGUUUGUGUCACAGGCUGCUAAGAAUGUUCUAGCUGCUGUGGCAGCGACAUCGUCUGUUCCUGCUUUCAGGGCACCCUACUGCAAAUACACCUUCUGGAUCAGAGUCCACCCGUCUAGGCGCCGCCAUCAUCCUCGCACCGUCGCGCGCUGCGCCGGAGACAUGGACGAGGUCGAGCAGUAUGUGCCUUCGUCCUCUUCCCUCGGAGUGUGGGACCGAGGAUAAGGACGAGGAGAAGAAAUAUGUGGCAUCUUCAUCGUUGUCCUCUUGGCGCGCGGUGCUGGAGAGACAGAAAAGGAGGUCGAGAGCUGGAAGUGCGGCAUAUUGUAGUGUUUUGUUUGAUGGGGAAAUAUCUUUGUAUGCCAGCAUAUUUUGUAGUGGUUUGUUUGAUGGGAACUACCUUUGUAUGCCUGCAUAUUUUGCUUAGGUAUUGAUGAUUCCAUGCUAAAUUUGUACAAGAUUAAAAAAAAAUUAUGAGUGCAACAACUAUUUGUUAGUUGCACCAAAUUAAAUUCAUA